rnacentral:tRNA from 1 species
GGGAAUGUAGCUCAGUGGUAGAGCACUUGCCUAACAUGUGAAGUCCUGGGUUCAAUCCCAGCACCCCUA